rnacentral:rRNA from 1 species
AACGAACGCUGGCGGCAUGCCUAACACAUGCGAGUCGAACGAGACCUUCGGGUCUAGUGGCGCACGGGUGCGUAACGCGUGGGAACCUGCCCUUAGGUUCGGAAUAACUCCCCGAAAGGGGUGCUAAUACCGGAUAAUGUCUUAGGACCAAAGAUUUAUCGCCUUUGGAUGGGCCCGCGUUGGAUUAGCUAGUUGGUAGGGUAAAAGCCUACCAAGGCGACGAUCCAUAGCUGGUCUGAGAGGAUGAUCAGCCACACUGGGACUGGGACACGGCCCAGACUCCUACGGGAGGCAGCAGUGGUGAAUAUUGGACGAUGGGCGAAAGCCUGAUCCAGCAAUGCCGCGUGAGUGAUGAAGGCCUUAGGGUUGUAAAGCUCUUUUACCCGGGAUGAUAAUGACAGUACCGGGAGAAUAAGCUCCGGCUAACGCCG